rnacentral:rRNA from 1 species
GACGAACGCUGGCGGCGUGCUUAACACAUGCAAGUCGAGCGGAAAGGCCACUUCGGUGGUACUCGAGCGGCGAACGGGUGAGUAACACGUGAGUAAUCUGCCCUUGGCUUUGGGAUAGCCACCGGAAACGGUGAUUAAUACCGGAUACGACCACUUCUCGCAUGGGAUGGUGGUGGAAAGUUUUUUCGGCCAGGGAUGUGCUCGCGGCCUAUCAGCUCGAUGGUGAGGUAAUGGCUCACCAUGGCUUCGACGGGUAGCCGGCCUGAGAGGGUGACCGGUCACACUGGGACUGAGACACGGCCCAGACUCCUACGGGAGGCAGCAGUGGGGAAUAUUGGACAAUGGGCGGAAGCCUGAUCCAGCAACGCCGCGUGAGGGAUGACGGCCUUCGGGUUGUAAACCUCUUUCAGCAGGGACGAAGCGCAAGUGACGGUACCUGCAGAAGAAGCACCGGCCAACUACGUGCCAGCCGCCGCGGUAAUAC